UAAAAUAAGUUAAUAAUUUAAUUUUCUCGAAUUGGAAAGAGCUAUAAUUAUAGAGAUUUAAUUGUUGCAUAAAUUUUUAAAAUAUGAUUAUAGAAAUGAAACGUUAGUCGUUUUUUAAGAUAUCUGGUUUUUUAAGAAAUAAAUUUAAUUUAGUCUUUUUAGUGUAUGUUAUUAAGUGAAAAGUAGUGUGUUUAAAAAGAGUAAUAUUUUAAGGGAUAAGCUUUAAAAUAAAUAAUUAAAAAUUGGUUUUAUAUAAUAGAAAAUUGGUAGGAUUGGAAAUGUUUAUCUAUAGUUUGUUAUAAUUAAUUUUUUAUUAAAUAAGAUUUAUAUGUAUUUUAAAUUGUUUAUUAAAAAUAUAUGUAUAAUUGUGUAUUAUAUGAUAUAAUGAUAAAAUUAGUAUAGUUUAUUGUGUUAUGUAGUUAAUAAUUGAGGUUGAAUUAAGGAACUCGGCAAAUAUAUUUUUCGCCUGUUUAUUAAAAACAUGUCUUUUUGAUUAUAAUUUAAAGUCUAACCUGCCCAAUGAGGAGUUAAAUGGCCGCGGUACUUUGACCGUGCAAAGGUAGCAUAAUCAUUAGUUUUUUAAUUGAAAGCUGGAAUGAACGGUUGGACGAGAAAAUGACUGUCUCAAUUUAAUUUAUAUUAGAAUUUUAUUUAUGAGUAAAAAAGCUUAUAUUUAUUUAAAAGACGAGAAGACCCUAUAGAAUUUUAUAUAAAUUUAUAUAUAUAUUAUUUUAGAAUGUUUAAUGUGUAUAUAAAUUUAUAUUUUGUUGGGGCGAUGGAAAAAUUGAAUGAACUUUUUUUAUAUUUAAUCAUUAAUUUAUGAGUAAGUGAUCCGUUAUUAACGAUUAUAAGAUUAAAUUACCUUAGGGAUAACAGCGUAAUUUUUUUUUAGAGUUCUUAUCGAAAAAAGAGUUUGCGACCUCGAUGUUGGAUUAAAAUUUACUUUUGGUGUAGGGGCUAAAAAGUUAGGUCUGUUCGA
rnacentral:rRNA from 1 species